UGGGGGAUAUUGCACAAUGGGGGAAACCCUGAUGCAGCAACGCCGCGUGUGGGAAGAAGGUUUUCGGAUUGUAAACCACUGUUCUUGGUGAAGAUAAUGACGGUAACCAAGGAGAAAGCUCCGGCUAACUACGUGCCAGCAGCCGCGGUAAUACGUAGGGAGCAAGCGUUGUCCGGAUUUACUGGGUGUAAAGGGUGCGUAGGCGGCUAGGCAAGUCAGACGUGAAAACCAUGGGCUCAACCUGUGGACUGCGUUUGAAACUGUUUAGCUUGAGUGAAGUAGAGGUAGGCGGAAUUCCCGGUGUAGCGGUGAAAUGCGUAGAGAUCGGGAGGAACACCAGUGGCGAAGGCGGCCUACUGGGCUUUAACUGACGCUGAGGCACGAAAGCAUGGGUAGCAAACAG
rnacentral:rRNA from 1 species